UGGGGAAUAUUCCGCAAUGGACGAAAGUCUGACGGAGCAACGCCGCGUGAGUGAUGAAGGUUUUCGGACUGUAAAGCUCUGUUGUUUAGGACGAAAGUGCCUGUUGCGAACAGUUACAGGUAUUGACGGUACUGAACGAGGAAGCCACGGCUAACUACGUGCCAGCAGCCGCGGUAAUACGUAGGUGGCAAGCGUUGUCCGGAAUUAUUGGGCGUAAAGAGCAUGUAGGCGGGAAUCUAAGUCUGUUGUGAAAAUGCGGGGCUCAACCCCGUAUGGCGAUGGAAACUGGAUUUCUUGAGUGCAGGAGAGGAAAGGGGAAUUCCCAGUGUAGCGGUGAAAUGCGUAGAUAUUGGGAGGAACACCAGUGGCGAAGGCGCCUUUCUGGACUGUGUCUGACGCUGAGAUGCGAAAGCCAGGGUAGCGAACAG
rnacentral:rRNA from 1 species